rnacentral:tRNA from 1 species
AAAGUUUUAAGUUAAUAAAACUAUUAACCUUCAAAGUUAAAAUUAUAAUUUUUAUAAACUUUU